rnacentral:rRNA from 1 species
UACGUAGGGUGCGAGCGUUGUCCGGAAUUAUUGGGCGUAAAGAGCUUGUAGGCGGUUUGUCACGUCUGCUGUGAAAUCCCGAGGCUCAACCUCGGGCCUGCAGUGGGUACGGGCAGACUGGAGUGCGGUAGGGGAGAAUGGAAUUCCUGGUGUAGCGGUGGAAUGCGCAGAUAUCAGGAGGAACACCGGUGGCGAAGGCGGCUACCUGGACAGAAACUGACGCUGAGGCGCGAAAGCUAGGGGAGCAAACAGG